AUUGAACGCUGGCGGCAGGCCUAACACAUGCAAGUCGAGCGAGCGGCGGACGGGGGUGUAAUGUAUGGGGACUGCCCGAUAGAGGGGGAUAACUCUUGGGAACGGUAGAUAAUACCGCAUACUCUCGGAGUACCCACAUGGGAUUAGCGAGUAGGUGAGGGAAUGGCUCACCUAGGCGACGAUCCCUAGCUGGUCUGAGAGGAUGAUCAGCCACACUGGGACUGAGACACGGUCCAGACUCCUACGGAGGCAGCAGUGGGGAAUAUUGCACAAUGGGCGCAAGCCUGAUGCAGCCAUGCCGCGUGUAUGAAGAAGGCCCUAGGGUUGUAAAGUACUUUCAGCCGGGAGGCGUUACCCGCAGAAGAAGCACCGGCUAACUCCGUGCCAGCAGCCGCGGUAAUAC
rnacentral:rRNA from 1 species